rnacentral:SRP_RNA from 1 species
GCCUGGCACAGUGGCACGUGCCUGUGGUCCCAGCUACUCGGGAGGCUGAGGUGGGAGGACUGCUUGAGCCCAGGAGUUCUGGGCUGUAGUGCGCUAUGCCAACCGGGUGUUUGCACUAAGUUUGGCAUCAAUAUGGUGACCUCCAGGGAGCGGGAGACCACCAGGUUGCCUAAGAAGCGGUGAACCGGCCCAGGUCGGAAACAGAGCAGGUCAAAACUGCCGUGCUGAUCAGUAGUGGGAUCGCACCUGUGAAUAGCCACUGCAUUCCAGCCUGGGCAACAUAGCGAGACCUCGUCUCU